UACAGAGGGGGCAAGCGUUGUUCGGAAUUACUGGGCGUAAAGGGCGCGUAGGCGGCCUGCUAAGUCGAACGUGAAAUCCCCGGGCUCAACCCGGGAACUGCGUCCGAUACUGGAUGGCUUGAGUUCGGGAGAGGGAUGCGGAAUUCCAGGUGUAGCGGUGAAAUGCGUAGAUAUCUGGAGGAACACCGGUGGCGAAGGCGGCAUCCUGGACCGAUACUGACGCUGAGGAGCGAAAGCCAGGGGAGCAAACGGG
rnacentral:rRNA from 1 species